rnacentral:rRNA from 1 species
UACAGAGGGUGCGAGCGUUAAUCGAAGUUACUGGGCGUAAAGGGCGCGUAGGCGGUGAGAUGGGAGUGAUGUGAAAGCCCUGGGCUUAACCUGGGAAGUGCAUCGCUAACUAUCUGACUGGAGUAUAGGAGAGGGUGGCGGAAUUCCGGGUGUAGUGGUGAAAUGCGUAGAUAUCCGGAGGAACACCAGUGGCGAAGGCGACUUCCUGGCCUGUUCUUGACGCUGAGGCGCGAAAGCUGGGGGAGCAAACGGG